GGAGCGAAAGCGACGUUCAACCGCAAAAGAAGCAGAGGGGGCUUAGUGGUGGGGUGACUGCGUACCUUUUGUAUAAUGGGUCAGCGACUUAUAUUCUGUAGCAAGGUUAACCGAAUAGGGGAGCCGGAGGGAAACCGAGUCUUAACCGGGCGUUAAGUUGCAGGGUAUAGACCCGAAACCCGGUGAUCUAGCCAUGGGCAGGUUGAAGGUUGGGUAACACUAACUGGAGGACCGAACCGACUAAUGUUGAAAAAUUAGCGGAUGACCUGUGGCUGGGGGUGAAAGGCCAAUCAAACCGGGAGAUAGCUGGUUCUCCCCGAAAGCUAUUUAGGUAGCGCCUCGUGAAUUCAUCUCCGGGGGUAGAGCACUGUUUCGGCUAGGGGGCCAUCCCGGCUUACCAACCCGAUGCAAACUGCGAAUACCGGAGAAUGUUAUCACGGGAGACACACGGCGGGUGCUAACGUCCGUCGUGAAGAGGGAAACAACCCAGACCGCCAGCUAAGGUCCCAAAGUCAUGGUUAAGUGGGAAACGAUGUGGGAAGGCCCAGACAGCCAGGAUGUUGGCUUAGAAGCAGCCAUCAUUUAAAGAAAGCGUAAUAGCUCACUGGUCGAGUCGGCCUGCGCGGAAGAUGUAACGGGGCUAAACCAU
rnacentral:rRNA from 1 species